AUUGAACGCUGGCGGCAGGCCUAACACAUGCAAGUCGAACGGUAACAGGAAACAGCUUGCUGUUUCGCUGACGAGUGGCGGACGGGUGAGUAAUGUCUGGGAAACUGCCUGAUGGAGGGGGAUAACUACUGGAAACGGUAGCUAAUACCGCAUAACGUCGCAAGACCAAAGAGGGGGACCUUCGGGCCUCUUGCCAUCGGAUGUGCCCAGAUGGGAUUAGCUAGUAGGUGGGGUAACGGCUCACCUAGGCGACGAUCCCUAGCUGGUCUGAGAGGAUGACAAGCCACACUGGAACUGAGACACGGUCCAGACUCCUACGGGAGGCAGCAGUGGGGAAUAUUGCACAAUGGGCGCAAGCCUGAUGCAGCCAUGCCGCGUGUAUGAAGAAGGCCUUCGGGUUGUAAAGUACUUUCAGCGGGGAGGAAGGGAGUAAAGUUAAUACCUUUACUCAUUGACGUUACCCGCAGAAGAAGCACCGGCUAACUCCGUG
rnacentral:rRNA from 1 species